AUUGAACGCUGGCGGCAGGCUUAACACAUGCAAGUCGAGCGGAGACGAGGUGCUUGCACCUUAUCUUAGCGGCGGACGGGUGAGUAAUGCUUAGGAAUCUGCCUAUUAGUGGGGGACAACAUUCCGAAAGGAAUGCUAAUACCGCAUACGUCCUACGGGAGAAAGCAGGGGAUCUCCGGACCUUGCGCUAAUAGAUGAGCCUAAGUCGGAUUAGCUAGUUGGUGGGGUAAAGGCCUACCAAGGCGACGAUCUGUAGCGGGUCUGAGAGGAUGAUCCGCCACACUGGGACUGAGACACGGCCCAGACUCCUACGGGAGGCAGCAGUGGGGAAUAUUGGACAAUGGGGGAAACCCUGAUCCAGCCAUGCCGCGUGUGUGAAGAAGGCCUUAUGGUUGUAAAGCACUUUAAGCGAGGAGGAGGCUACUGAGACUAAUACUCUUGGAUAGUGGACGUUACUCGCAGAAUAAGCACCGGCUAACUCUGUGCCAGCCGCCGCGGUAAAAC
rnacentral:rRNA from 1 species